rnacentral:ncRNA from 1 species
GCAGGGGACUCAUCACAAUGGUGCGCUCAUACCGAAAGGUAUGAGAUGAACGGGAUGAAUUCAGGGAACCCGCAGUAGUCUAGAUGACUGCCGGCAACCCUGAGCCAAGCCGGGGGUACACCUCCGGAAGGUGCAGAGACUACCUGAGGGCUCAAGCGCCCUUAAUAACAGGCAUCGAGCGUCCCGCACCCUAACAACGCGGUUGAGGGUGAUGAGAUAGUCCACUCCCGUCGGAAACGGCGGG